rnacentral:rRNA from 1 species
CGCGUAGGCGGCGGACCAAAGUCGAGUGUGAAAGCCCCGGGCUCAACCUGGGAGGUGCGCUCGAGACUGGUUGGCUGGAGUUCGGGAGAGGAGCGUGGAAUUCCCAGUGUAGAGGUGAAAUUCGUAGAUAUUGGGAAGAACACCGGUGGCGAAGGCGGCGCUCUGGACCGAGACUGACGCUGAGGCGCGAAGGCGUGGGGAGCAAACA